rnacentral:rRNA from 1 species
UAGAGUUUGAUCCUGGCUCAGGACGAACGCUGGCGGCGUGCUUAACACAUGCAAGUCGAGCGAGGAAGUUUCUUCGGAAACAACCUAGCGGCGGACGGGUGAGUAACACGCGGGCAACCUGCCUUGAAGUGGGGGAUAGCCCUCCGAAAGGAGGAUUAAUACCGCAUAACAUCAGUACAUCGCAUGAUGAAUUGAUUAAAGGAGUAAUCCGCUUCAAGAUGGGCCCGCGGCGCAUUAGCUAGUUGGUGAGGUAACGGCUCACCAAGGCGACGAUGCGUAGCCGACCUGAGAGGGUGAUCGGCCACAUUGGGACUGAGACACGGCCCAGACUCCUACGGGAGGCAGCAGUGGGGAAUAUUGCACAAUGGGGGAAACCCUGAUGCAGCAACGCCGCGUGAGUGAUGAAGGCCUUCGGGUUGUAAAGCUCUGUCUUCAGGGACGAUAAUGACGGUACCUGAGGAGGAAGCCACGGCUAACUACAUGCCAGCAGCCGCGGUAAUA